UGGGGAAUUUUGGACAAUGGGCGCAAGCCUGAUCCAGCCAUGCCGCGUGCGGGAAGAAGGCCUUCGGGUUGUAAACCGCUUUUGUCAGGGAAGAAAUCUUCUGAGUUAAUACCUCGGGAGGAUGACGGUACCUGAAGAAUAAGCACCGGCUAACUACGUGCCAGCAGCCGCGGUAAUACGUAGGGUGCAAGCGUUAAUCGGAAUUACUGGGCGUAAAGCGUGCGCAAGGCGGUUUUGUAAGACAGAGGUGAAAUCCCCGGGCUCAACCUGGGAACUGCCUUUGUGACUGCAAGGCUUGAGUGCGGCAGAGGGGGGAAUGGAAUUCCGCGUGUAGCAGUGAAAUGCGUAGAUAUGCGGAGGAACACCGAUGGCGAAGGCAAAUCCCCUGGGCCUGCACUGACGCUCAUGCACAAAGCGUGGGGAGCAAAACAGGAUUAGAUAGCCCUGGUAGCCCACGCCCUAAAACGAUGU
rnacentral:rRNA from 1 species